UACAGAGGGGGCAAGCGUUGUUCGGAUUUACUGGGCGUAAAGGGCGCGUAGGCGGCGCAACAAGUCAGUUGUGAAAUCUCUGGGCUUAACCCAGAGCGGUCAACUGAUACUGUCGUGCUAGAGUGCGGAAGGGGCAACUGGAAUUCUCGGUGUAGCGGUGAAAUGCGUAGAUAUCGAGAGGAACACCUGCGGCGAAGGCGGGUUGCUGGGCCGACACUGACGCUGAGGCGCGAAAGCUAGGGGAGCGAACGGG
rnacentral:rRNA from 1 species